CCGGUGGGGGUGGGGAACGGGGAUGGGGCUGGAAUAUUAGAGAUCACGCUCCUUAUGAAACAGACCAGGAAACUGAGGCUGAGAGGGGGCACGGGACCUAUCCAUCGUCCCGCAGCUAGGACCAGUUUGGGACCGGGAGUCACACUGACAUCCUCUCUGCCAAAAUUCUAUGUUGUUUCAAGUGAGUGAGAAGUCUUCCCACAGAGGACUCAUCAUAGAGAGCGUGUUUCACGUCCGACUUCCCUGUGAGGCAUUUCUUCACCACGGCCUCACAGCACCGGUCCUAGCGGCCUGGGGACUCCGACCCUUCCAAGGUAUGCAAAACCAAAACCAGUUUCACGACAGCGUUAAGCGGCUAUUUGCCAUUGUCCCUGUUUCUCUCCGCAGUGUGCAGUAGAGUUUUCCAAAGACGGUAAGACAGGCGGUGCAGCCACAGACUGCAGAAGCAGAAGGGAAGGAAGAGGACUGACGUAAAACUUGUGCCAGUUGGGUUAUAUCGCCAGAGAAGGGAUUACAACUCAGAUGCUUCCAGAGGCCAGACUUUUGAGUCACACAAACCCAGCGUUUUGGUGGAUUCUGGUGAAGAGUAACCGUCUUGCCUGGCAGAAGGGGCAGCUUGCUGCUGCCACGUUUGAUCAGGGAGCACCCCCCCUGCCAUGUUGUCAUGUCCUCCCUAGGUUUUUGAAAGAAGCUGGAAACCAGGGUUUUAGGCGAAAUGCGUCCAUUUUUUUAAUAUCGGGGAAAGAAAUAAAAUUGAAUACACCAUUGAA